rnacentral:sRNA from 1 species
UGAAAUUCUAUGUUUUUACUCAUGAAGCACAACUUUCUUAAUCUAUAUAUACAUUUUUGGAGGGGAUUUUUGAAGAUAAUGUUGAAGAUUUGAACCAUAAUUCAACAAUUAAUUCAAAUGGGUGGGUUUUACCCGGUUUAACUCUGUUCGGAUCCUGGAUAACAUGUUUAAUUCUGUUCUGAUCUUGGAUAACAUUAAUUUUUGGAAAAGUUACCUAAAACCUAAUAAUUAAAAACGAAAAUUAA